GCCUGGGCGACAGAGUAAGAUCCUGUCUCAGAGAGAGAGAGAGAGAGAUUGAGAAGAGAGAAGUGCAAGAUCACACUUCUGCAGCUCUUUUUUUCUCCUUCUGGCACAUUUUUCAUUUUUAAGACCCCACGUCCUCCAUAUAUGCUUUCCUGGCCCACCCAUUUCCCUCCUCCCCUUACACAGAUGGAGAACUUCCUUUCUGGUGUUCUCUCAGCACUCAGCACAGAUUGCUAGUGCUUUUAUGUGCUGAGCCUUUCCCUUCAACCUGGACUGAAAGAGGAUGGCAAUCUCGCUGAAGCUGUUUCUUUUUCUUCACAACAUAUAGGAAAGUGUUGCCCCUUUUUGGAGAAAGUAACAACCUCCACCAACACUACUUGAAUCAGUACUGAACGAAUGUCAGGUCCUUGGGAAAUUCUCCAAUCCUGUCUCCUGUCCUGGCCGGGUGUGCUCCUGGUGCACCAUUCGACUAAGUCAAUUUGAACUAUUUGGGAGACCUUUGUACCUACGUUUCCUUCUGCUUGGAAGAUCCUUUCUGUUUUGUCAGCUCUUACUUCCAUGUUGUGGAAAACUGAUCUGACCUCCUAGUCCUGAAUCAGGGGCCAUAAAGAAAAUUGAUGAGGACAACUGGCCUCCCAGUAUGUGGAUUCAGUUUCCAUAUGUCAAUUUACCAACUCCCACUGGUAGUCUGAAGAGAUAUGGCUACUGGAGAACAGAAAAUCACCAGUAUUAAUAAAAGCAAUUUUAAGUGUUUACCUUUUAGUAUUUGAAUAGCUUUGUUAAAGAGACGUACUCAAGAAUACUAUGAAGAGACUCUUAUUGUACUCCUUACCUGGAGAUAAUUGUGAUGCCAGAAAUUCAAAUUUAUAUUCAACAAUAUGGUUUUUCAACCAUCAAUAUUAUAAACAUCUAGGCAGUGUCUAUUGUUUGCGCAUUUGCCAUCCUCUAAAAUGAGAUUAUUCUAAGCAUAAAUUAUACUUCAUCAUUCAAGAUUAUAAACAUUUAUAAUAAUCAUAAUAUUCACAGACAUUUCCCUGCUCUCAAAUCACUAGAGCUAAUAGGCAAAGUAGAUACAGCUACAAACAGUGGGAGAAAAUAUUUCUGGCUGACCUACAAAUAGCUGUGCAAUAAUGUAGAGAGGAAAAUAUAGUCUCACUUACAGUGUCUGAAAUUGAGUUUCCCUCUUUAAAGGACAAAGUAAUUUUCAAAAAUAUUUGAGUAUUAUUCUGUGUAAAAAAUCUCUGUUUUAACUGGCUUAUUGAAUUGUAUUUCUUUAUUGUGUUUGUAUUCACUUUUCCAUUUGUGGGUGGAAUUUAUUAUAAUUACCAGUUUUAUACUGAAUGAAACAAAAAUCUCAUAGAUUUAAUAAAACUUUAAAUUCCUUGUCAUUAAUAAUAAAAUGUAUAUGCUUUCUCUAAUAAGUCCAUACUUUAUUGUUUAAAACCUGUUUUUCCUCUUUCUCAAGCACAUGGAUUGUUAAUUUAAAUUCUGAAAUAAAGCCAAUUAAUCCAUAAACAUGGACUGUGGAUAAUGUCGAUAUUACAUGUAAAUUUCUCAGUGUGUGUUUCGUGGACCCAAUAGCAUCAGCAUUAGCUGGGGACUUACGAGGUGGCCUGUGCCUGUAGUCCCAGCUACUCAGGAGGCUGAGGCAGGAGAAUCGCU
rnacentral:lncRNA from 1 species